rnacentral:ncRNA from 1 species
UUGAGGUGCUUAGCAAUAAGAGAAUAGGGAAACCGGUGCGAAUCCGGUGCGAACCCAUCACUGUAAACAGGGACAAAGCCUGAAAGCCACUGGAGCGAUCCGGGAAGGCAGGCCGCGGACGAGCUGUAAGCCAGGAGACCUGCCUUAAAGA